UUCUUGAACCACACCUGCGGGCAUGGGAGAAAGGCCGUCAGGGCCCGGAGCCGAGCGGGGGACCCGGACCGGGGCAGCGCGGCCGGUGGGUGGGUCGCCCAGACGGGGCUUCAAGCCGGCGCCGUCCUGAGGAUCAACCAGAUGUGGUGGCUGGAGACGGGAAUGAGCGUCGUGGAGAAGCCCGAGGAGUGCACGGAGUCAGGGAGCUGAGAACAGAAGCAGUGGGCGGCAGGGCUGAGUCCGGGGCGACGCGGUCUGGGGAGGGGACUAGCAGGAUGGGGUCAAGGAAGGGUGAAGAGGAGAACAAGAGACAGCGUCAGGGUAGAAGAAACGCACGGCCUGGAGUGAGAGCGUGGAGCAAGAGCAGCGCUCGGAGGACGCCUACCACAGCAUGGCUUGCCAAGUGGUGCCGUGUCCGCACCCGGGAUCCGAACCAGCAAACCCUGGGCUGCUGAAGCGGAACACGCAAACUCAACCGCUGUACCACCCGGCCAGCCCCAAGAGACUUCAUUUUUAACAAGCUGGACGUUGCAGUGUCAGUGGUCCAUGGACUCCACUUUGCAAAGCCCUGCUUGACUUCUCUCUCUGCACAGUUUCUUCCACAGCCAGAAGUUCAGUGACAUCCUCUACCCUGAAUGUUGAAGCCAGACUGACAGCCUGAGUUCUAGACAACUGGUUAUUGGAUCCUCUGACUUCAGUGUUCCACUGGCACCUUGCAGUUGUAGGGCCCAAACUAAAGUCAUCUCCAUUCUCAAACCACCGUUCAAAUGUAUUCCUCUUCCUUUAUUUCCCACCUUUGCAAGUGGAUGCACCAUCUACCCUGUCAGCCAAACCAGAUUAAAGGAGAGAGAGGAGUCAAAGGAGACCCCCAGAUUUAAACCUAGGAGCAGGGCCCACUUCACGGGUGUGCAACCUGUGCGGCCACACAGGCCCACAUACUUGGAAGCGCCCUGCACUUGGUUUGAUGUUCUGCUGUCGCCAUCUUGAAAUUCUUAAUUUUUUAACAGAGGGCCUUACAUUUUUGUUUUACACUAGCCCCCACAAAUUAUCUAACCAGUCCUGCCUAGGAGCCUAGGAGCCUGGUCGUGGCUUCAAUAGAAAUAGAGAGGUCAGCAAAAAAGAACAGGUCUGGGUAGAAGGUGAGCUGAGUUUCUGCACCUCAGUGUGAGCUGUCUGUAACUCAAGUCAGCUGGGUGGAGAAGUCCAAUGGGAAGUGUGAGGUGUGAGCAAGAAUAGAGAAGAGAGAUCAAGACAGAAGAUACGUAAUUUGGAGUCAUCCAAAUAGAAGUAACAGGUAAGGUCAUGAAAGGCAAUUAACCAGGAAAGAGAGUACAGAGUGAGAAGGAGUAAGGGACAGGGACGGGAGUCUAAGAAACAAGAGCAUUAAAGAGGUGGGAAGUAUGGGAAGAACCAGCAGAAAUACAAAAGCAAAACCAAGCAAUAAAAAUACUGGGGAAAGGAGAUGACUCUGACAGGGACAUGCAGGAUCUUAAGGCGGGAAGGUAGAAGCAGAGAAAGCAAUCAGUGUCAGAACACAUGGAAAAGAAAGACUUAAAUCCAACAAAUUUCAACACAUUUAUUAUUAGUUUUGAACACUUACUGAUUAUAAAAAUAAUUUUUAAAUCACCCAUUAUUACACCAUCCUGACAAACUCUAUUAGCAUUUUGGUGCAUUUUCUUCUGAUAUUUGUUCUCAACAUAGAUUUCUUCCCUAUUUUUUCUCUAUAAAAAGUUUACAAUAUUCUUUCCAUCUACAUUUCUUCCACAUUUUCAUUCCAUGAAUUUGAGACCAUACUAUGCAUAGACUCAUAUCCUACACUUUUUUUACUUAACAUUAUAUCCUGAGCAUUUCCCUUUUUUUUUUUUUUUUUUUUUUU